rnacentral:sRNA from 1 species
GCCAGGCGCGGUGGUGUAUGCCUGUAAUCCCAGCAGCUUGGGAGGCUGAGACAGGAGGAUCGCGAGUUCAAAGCCAGCCAUGGCAAUGGCAAGGUGCUUAGCAAAUCAGUGAGACCCUGUAUCUA